rnacentral:rRNA from 1 species
AGUGAACGCUGGCGGUAGGCCUAACACAUGCGAGUCGAACGGCAGCACAGUAAGAGCUUGCUCUUACGGGUGGCGAGUGGCGGACGGGUGAGGAAUACAUCGGAAUCUACUUUUUCGUGGGGGAUAACGUAGGGAAACUUACGCUAAUACCGCAUACGACCUACGGGUGAAAGCAGGGGAUCUUCGGACCUUGCGCGAUUGAAUGAGCCGAUGUCGGAUUAGCUAGUUGGCGGGGUAAAGGCCCACCAAGGCGACGAUCCGUAGCUGGUCUGAGAGGAUGAUCAGCCCAACUGGAACUGAGACACGGUCCAGACUCCUACGGGAGGCAGCAGUGGGGAAUAUUGGACAAUGGGCGCAAGCCUGAUCCAGCCAUACCGCGUGGGUGAAGAAGGCCUUCGGGUUGUAAAGCCCUUUUGUUGGGAAAGAAAAGCAGCAGGUUAAUACCCCGCUGUUCUGACGGUACCCAACGAAUAAGCACCGGCUAACUUCGUG